AGGUCCAGUCUUAAUAAUGAGAAAACUUAUCAGACAGAUUCUAAUAGACACAGCCUCGGAUACAUCUCAACUGGUGAAGGUCUUCAAAGACAAAGAGUUUGAGAGACUGUUAUAGCCAGAACACUAAGGAGAUGUGAUGACCAAAUUAACUGAUGUCUCAGAAGAGGUCCUGGGGCACAAAAUGGACAUUAGGCUCCAUCAAAGGAAAUCUGAGCGAACUAGUUAGUAAGCACGCAUCAGUAUUGAAUCAUUUGUGAUCACAAAUGUGAACUGUGGCUCAAGCCUGCAAAGUCAGUGCUCAGGAUGGGGAGGAAGGAAGAUCAGGAGCUCAAAGUCAACCUGGACCAUAGGAUUCACUGUCUAAACCAAACCAAACCAAACCAAACCAAACCAGACCAAACCAAACCAGACCAAACCAAACCAAAAAACAGUUAUAACAAAAUACCAUGAUAGGGGAAUUCUCAAUAAGGAUCUCCCUCUUUCCUCCCUCCCUCCCCUGCCACCGUGUGUGUGCGUGUGUGUGUGUGUGUGUGUGUGUGUGUGUGUGUGUGUGUGUGUGUGUAGGCAGUAGAUGCAGAAAUCCUAUGCUGUCUGCUCCCUCCCACCCUAUAUCUAAAGCAGUUCUAAAAAUAAAAGCAGGCUGGGAAGAAAAGCCUGGGACUCCGGCUGCACCAGGAUUCUUGGGCUCUCAAGGAACGCAGGGCCUCAUUUAGCUCAAGCAGAAUCUGCUUACCUGAGGGUGGCCUUGAACUGCUGAUCAUUGUGCUGGGACUCCAGAUGUGCACCUCCAUGCCCGGCUCUGGCUCUUUCUCCUCUUCUCAUCUAGCGGCUAAGCCAGAGUCCUUGGCAACUAUGGAGGAAGGAGGCCCCCUGAGCCUCAGACCAACUACUCCCUGGGCAAUGUCCCAGGAAUGUUGCAGAAGAAGAAAUCAGCAGUCACAGGCAGCACUGUCAGCCCCAAACACUUACAGCCAGUGGGACUAAACACAUGCAAGUGGGUGGUUUCACCUGACGUGUGUGUAUGUGUGCGCGUGUGUGUGAGUGUGUGAGUGUGUGUGUGUGUGUGUGAGAGAGAGAGAGAGAGAGAGAGAGAGAGAGAAAGAGAGAGAGAGAGAGAGAGAGAGAGAGGGUCAGCAUAUAGAAAUAAAAUAAAAAUAAAAUAAAAUAAAAAUAAAAUAAAAGCAGGCUGGGAAGAAAAGCCUGGGACUCCGGCUGCACCAGGAUUCUUGGGCUCUCAAGGAACACAGGAUGACAUCGAUGGCCUUGAACUUGUGAUCCUCCUGCCUUGAUCUGGGACUUCAACUAGACCCUACGCUCUGGUUUUUGUUUCUUCUCUCGCUAAAGAUAAAAGGCACUCUGCCCACCGAGCUACACCCCGACCCCAUCUGUACUCCAUUCUAAGAAAGAAAACUUUGCUUGGAUCAAAGAGCAAAAAGGAUGAGGCCAUUGUGAGUUUCGCCAAGUGGAUGUGGAGAGCUCCUCUACAACAUGGAAGGAAGAGUUGGAUAAAAGGACUUGGAGCAAGAACCCUGCAGCUGGUGAUAGGCCUAAGAUGGCGCAUAUAUUCACAUCUGUGGGCCCUUUUACACACACACACACACACACACACACACACACACACACACACACACACAAGUAUGUCCCCCUUCCCACUCAGUGGGCAUGUGGGAGCCACCAGUGAGGAUGGGGCCAUUUCACACAGGAGCAGGACAGGAGGCCUUGGCUGUGUCUCCUUUCAUAUACAAGAUGCCCCAGGAAACAGCCAAACAAGGACAGUUGGUUGUAUAAGGACGGUUGUGUUGCUGCUGGGGGGUCCUGUGUGAGAUACUUAGGAAGUAAAGCUUUAAGGAAA